rnacentral:piRNA from 1 species
UGAUAUUGCCGUUUCUCCUGGCCAUGUGU